AUUAGAUACCCUGGGUAGCCCACGCAGUAAACGAUGAUUACUAGGAGUCCGUGAUAGACAGUAAGCUCUACAGCGAAAGCGUUAAGUAAUCCACCUGGGGAGUACGCCGGCAACGGUGAAACUCAAAGGAAUUGACGGGGGCCCGCACAAGCGGAGGAACAUGUGGUUUAAUUCGAUGAUACGCGAGGAACCUUACCCGGGUUUGAACGUAGUCGGACCGGCCUUGAAAGAGGCCUUCUAGCAAUAGCUGAUUACGAGGUGCUGCAUGGUUGUCGUCAGCUCGUGCCGUGAGGUGUCGGCUUAAGUGCCAUAACGAGCGCAACCCUUAUCACUAGUUACUAACAGGUGAAGCUGAGGACUCUGGUGAGACUGCCAGCGUAAGCUGUGAGGAAGGUGGGGAUGACGUCAAAUCAGCACGGCCCUUACAUCCGGGGCGACACACGUGUUACAAUGGCAUGGACAAAGGGCAGCUACACAGCGAUGUGAUGCUAAUCUCCAAACCAUGUCUCAGUUCGGAUCGGAGUCUGCAACUCGACUCCGUGAAGCUGGAUUCGCUAGUAAUCGCGCAUCAGCCACGGCGCGGUGAAUACGUUCCCGGGCCUUGUACACACCGCCCGUCAAGCCAUGGGAGCCGGGGGUGCCUGAAGCGCGUGACCGCAAGGAGCGUUCUAAGGCAAAACCGGUGACUGGGGCUAAGUCGUAACAAGGUAGC
rnacentral:rRNA from 1 species